rnacentral:rRNA from 1 species
GACGAACGCUGGCGGCGUGCUUAACACAUGCAAGUCGAACGGAAAGGCCCUGCUUUUGUGGGGUGCUCGAGUGGCGAACGGGUGAGUAACACGUGAGUAACCUGCCCUUGACUUUGGGAUAACUUCAGGAAACUGGGGCUAAUACCGGAUAGGAGCUCCUGCUGCAUGGUGGGGGUUGGAAAGUUUCGGCGGUUGGGGAUGGACUCGCGGCUUAUCAGCUUGUUGGUGGGGUAGUGGCUUACCAAGGCUUUGACGGGUAGCCGGCCUGAGAGGGUGACCGGCCACAUUGGGACUGAGAUGCGGCCCAGACUCCUCCGGGAGGCAGCGGUGGGGAAUGUUGCACAAUGGGCGGAAGCCUGGUGCGACAACGCCGCGUGCGGGAUGACGGCCUUCGGGUUGUAAACCGCUUUCGCCUGUGACGAAGCGUGAGUGACGGUAAUGGGUAAAGAAGCACCGGCUAACUACGUG